ACGCUCGACACCUACUGGAGGCAGCAGUGAGGAAUAUUGGUCAAUGGGCGCAGGCCUGAACCAGCCAAGUAGCGUGAAGGAUGACUGCCCUAUGGGUUGUAAACUUCUUUUAUAUGGGAAUAAAGUUUUCCACGUGUGGAAUUUUGUAUGUACCAUAUGAAUAAGGAUCGGCUAACUCCGUGCCUGCAGCCGCGGUAAUCUGAGCGGGCUGGCAAGGC
rnacentral:rRNA from 1 species